rnacentral:rRNA from 1 species
UGAGGGGGGCUGCUCCUAGUACGAGAGGACCGGAGUGGACGCAUCACUGGUGUUCGGGUUGUCAUGCCAAUGGCACUGCCCGGUAGCUAAAUGCGGAAGAGAUAAGUGCUGAAAGCAUCUAAGCACGAAACUUGCCCCGAGAUGAGUUCUCCCUGAGACUUAGAGUCUCCUGAAGGAACGUUGAAGACGACGACGUUGAUAGGCCGGGUGUGUAAGCGCAGCGAUGCGUUGAGCUAACCGGUACUAAUGAACCGUGAGGCUUAACCUUACAACGCCGAAGGUGUUU